GCAUAGCCAUUUUUAUAUCUAAAUUAAAUGUGAUAGUUGUCGUACAUUGACGACAAGCGAUAAAAUAGUAACAUAAUGAUGAAUUUUUUAGUGAGGAUUUCAUUGAUGCUCUCUUAGGUACGUGCUACAUUUGCACCUUGCUGGAUAUUCAAUAGGUAACAGUUUCUAAACAAAGAAAUUCGGUUAUAGGAACCUUAACAAAGUUCAAUGGCACAGGAGAUUCUUAUAGACUACUUCCAAAAUAAAAAAACAGAUAUUAUUUUAUACUAUAAAAAAUUCUAAUUUCAAAGAAAAAUUGGAAAGAAGAAAAAUGCAUACCAUGAAAGAGUAACAAUUCAUAACUUCACUAAUAUUUUUAGUAUCAAUGUACCCAUUAGUCUCCCCAAUGUAUUUUCUUCCAAGUCUAAAUGAAAUAAGAAAAAGGACUAAUAAUUUGACAAAUUGAGUCAGUUUCGAUUGUUUUUUCAAAACGCCGAAAAUCACUGUACUAUAGACUAUUCUUGCAGUCUUACAAUUUUUCAAUUUGAAGAAAAAGUAAAAUAACAUACCAAACACCAAAAUAAUUUUUUUUUACAGUAGCAGUGAACAAUACUCAAGAUCUCAUACCUUGCAUCUUUACUGUGUGGAAGAUGAUAAUAGCUAAUUAUGGUCAUUGGUCACCAAGUGAAGAAGAAG
rnacentral:lncRNA from 1 species